AUCUCAUUUCUAUCAUUAUUAGUUACAUUACUUUGUAAUUGUAGUUUAAUUAGUAGAUUACUUAUAUUUAUUGUUAAAGAUUGCAUUUGGAGCUAUUUGUUAAAAUUUUACUAAGUGUAAAUUGAAAUUGAAAUUGAAUGUUUUUGAAAUAUAUUUACUGCUUUCAUUGCCUUCACUCUUUUAUCAAUAAUACCUCUAAUUGAGGCAUGAACAUCCCUUUCAAUUUCCUUCAUUCUUUUGUUCCUCUUUAUUGGCAAAAACCUAUGAAAUGGUCCAAUAAAUAAGAAAUUUGAAAGUGAAAGAGACAUCCAUUCUGUCGUGGUAGCUCUCUGUUCCUGUGACUGUGUAGUACUUCUUUGCAGGUAUUAGAAUGGACUGGAAUUUGAUAUUUACAAAACUUGUGAAUGUUACACUGGAGAACUACCUCUUGCUAUAACAUCUUCCCUCUUUUUCAGGUCCUAAAUGAAACCAAUAAAACAGCCAAUUAAUAGUAUAUAAAAUGCCUAAAGAGAAAUAUAGUCAAUACCAUAGAUUCCUUCAAACACUAAUUCGAGGAAUCUUACAAGCUUACCUGUUCUUUUUUUUUUUUUUUUCAGUUCAGCUUCUUUAGCUUGGAGUUCUUUCUCUUUAUAUCUUCGUACUAGUUUGCCAUUAUGAAGCUUUGAUAUGAAAAAGGAAAAAAACAAGAGAAAUGUUUAAAACCAACAAAAGAGUGUGUUCCACUUUUAAAUUUGUCACUAAAGCUCUAGCUUGAAAGCAACCUCUGCACUGAAAGCAACUUCAGCUAUCUGGAAUCAGCACAUUCACAAUAGCAGCUGAAAUUCCAUAUUGCAGAAGCAUUUUUUUUUUUUGGCAGAAGCAUAUUCAGGUUUUUGUAACAGCUUUUGGUUCAUGUUUUUAGACUGCAUAUUCAGAAAUGUGUUAAAGGCGAAAGCUGGUAUAAUUUAACUAAUACAGAGUUGUUGAUUAUUUUCCAUCGUUCAUGUUGAUUGUAGCACAAUACUGCCUGCUAAUACAGAGUUGUUGAUUAUGGAGAAAGGAGUGAAAUAGGUUGUGACUACUGCUGCUAAUACAGUGUUGCUGGAUUUCUUGACAUAUAGUAACAUCUCCCAUAUUUCAUUUUUUACUUGUGGCUCGUUUGGAUAUGAAAUUAGUUGUUAAUCUUGAUUUGUUUGCAGACACUCGAGAGGGGUUAGGAAGUACCUCAAGAUGAAGUCUUCAAGAUUACUCACACGAGGAGUCGAAGAACGCCGAUGGUACAGACCAAUGGAUUGAGCCAAGGGCUUAGCAAACCUAUACCGAGUAUCAACAACACAAGUUGGAAUAUUGUGCCAGUCAGCCAGCCGGGACGUCAAUGACCAACGAGGUAAUUGAUCGGCAGUGGAUGGAGAAGGUUGCUCCCCCGACAAGGUAUGGGACAGUUUAUGGGAUCCCUAAUCGAGCUUGUCAUCAAUUCCCGUCGUUCCUUCAAGGUGUAGGUGCUACUUCUGAGGGGGCAGUGGAUCCUAAGGAGUACCAAGAAAUGAAGCAGAAAGUUACUCAACUAACACGUACACUUAGUGCCACGGAGGCAACGAUGUUGGGUAUGCAGGCCCAAAUAGACAGCCUACUCAAUUCGGGGGCCUUUCCGAUUCCCCCGUGUCCCGGGGAUGCUCGUAGGUCACAGGCCAACGUAGUUCAUGGUCUUGUUGAUGAGGAUAGUGGGGAGGAUUCGGAUCAUGUCUUUAACACCCAACGUUGACUCUUUUGAUUCGUAUACUUUUGGACUCUAAUAUUGCUAUGUUUUCUUGGAUAUGUAUAUGAUAUUUGAUUGUAGUUUUAAUUCGAAUUAGAUGUACUUUUGAAGGUGAAUUUGAUUGUAGAAAGUAGUUUAUGGUUGUUUAAUUUUAUGGUGUUUUAAGUGUUUGAAUGUAGUUUUAAGGAUAUUUAGAAGUACUUUGAA